rnacentral:misc_RNA from 1 species
GAUGAAGAACGCAGCGAAAUGCGAUACUUGGUGUGAAUUGAAGAAUCCCGUGAACCAUCGAGUCUUUGAACGCAAGUUGCGCCCGAAGCCAUUAGGCCGAGGGCACGCCUGCCUGGGUGUCACACGUCGUUGCCCCCCCAUCUACUCCUUCGGGAUUGCGGGGGGCGGAUGAUGGCCUCCCGUGCGCCUCGUCGCGCGGUUGGCAUAAAUGCCAAGUCCUCGGCGACGCACGCCACGACAAUCGGUGGUUGCGAAACCUCGGUUGCCCGUCGUGUGCGGUCGUCGCGCAUCGAGGGCUCGAAAAAAUUGCCGGGCUCCGGCUCGGCUUUCAACGCGACCCCAGGUCAGGCGGGGUUACCCGCUGAAUUUAAGCAUAUCAAUAAGCGGAGGA